UGAGUCGGAACCCUGGCAACACAG
rnacentral:piRNA from 1 species